rnacentral:rRNA from 1 species
UACAGAGGUCUCAAGCGUUUGUUCGGAUUCAUUGGGCGUAAAGGGUGCGUAGGUGGCGCGCUAAGUCGGGUGUGAAAUUUCGGAGCUUAACUCCGAAACUGCAUUCGAUACUGGCGUGCUUGAGGACUGGAGAGGAGACUGGAAUUCAUGGUGUAGCAGUGAAAUGCGUAGAGAUCAUGAGGAAGACCAGUGGCGAAGGCGGGUCUCUGGACAGUUCCUGACACUGGAGGCACGAAGGCCCAGGGGAGCAAACGGG